rnacentral:miRNA from 1 species
UCAUGGACUUUAGCGGCGUU